UACGGAGGGGGCUAGCGUUGUUCGGAAUUACUGGGCGUAAAGCGCACGUAGGCGGCUUUGCAAGUUAGAGGUGAAAGCCCGGGGCUCAACUCCGGAAUUGCCUUUAAAACUGCAUCGCUAGAAUUGUGGAGAGGUAAGUGGAAUCCGAGUGUAGAGGUGAAAUUCGUAGAUAUUCGGAAGAACACCAGUGGCGAAGGCGACU
rnacentral:rRNA from 1 species